rnacentral:lncRNA from 1 species
UUUUACAUCGUCAGCAUUGUCAACCAAUGAAUCCAUGAAGCUAAAGAACGAGCAACAUUCAUAGUUGUAAUGAACAUCUGAACACAUCUCAUAUGCUACUAAGUUUCGAAAAAAAUAAGGUGUGACGUCAUUGAACAAAAAAAUAGGAAGCCUUAGUUCUCCAUUAAACCAUUUAGACGUGAACGAAAUGUUACUCCAGUUCCACUCAUCUGUCUUAUUUGCUACCACUUGAAUUCCUACUGUCUUUAGAUCCCGUAUGCUCUUAUAAGUAUUCCAAUUCAAAUUAAUUUCUUCCUCAUCAAUAUCUUCUUGGUCUUGAGUUUUAUUUUUCCUCAUCGAAUUGUGUUCACUUCCUUCAGAUUGUGUUUCCAUUUUACCAUGUUCUUCAAUGUUGGAAACCAUAUUGGGUGGCAAGUACACUGAACGAGCAAAAUCAAGUAUAUGAAAGGGCUUAGGAUUUUCCAAUUUGACUAUUACCAUUCCAAGUCGUUUGGAUUCACCCAUAUCAAAAGAAUUGUUAAUUAAAAAUUCCAAAUCAAUACCCAUUUCUUCGCAUAGAAUCUCAAGCAUUAUUCUUGGGAAGUUGAUUCUCCAACAAUAAAGUAUCUCUCCAUAUGUGCAUCAGUUGGUCAAACUUAAGGUUUAGGGCAUUCGGGCAUUGGUCAUCAACAUUUCCCAUAAAGUGUAGCAAAGAACAUCCAUCCACAAACAAUAUCCAAGCAAGAUCAUUAUCAUUGUAGCCUUCAAUUGCAUCCUCAGUGAACAUAUUCUUCACAUUUUCAAUAUUAUCUUCAAUCUUUUUAAGCAAAAGCUUACAUGCUUCGUUAUCAUCUUUAUCAAUUUUUUUGGCAUAAUUAGCAACAAAUAUUGAUGUCCAUAGAAGCUUGUAAUGCUCUCCUUCUUUCAGAUUUUUAGCAUUGUGAUGAAUAGGACCAAAUGAUAUAAUCUUUGGUGAACAAUACUUAUAAAAUCUUUCAUUUUGCCGCAAAAAUAUUGGAACCCUUUGGAUCUUAGGAAUCGAAAUUCGAUUAUUUCGAUCAAACCUUUCUUGUGCCUCUUUGAGUUGCGAAAGUCUUUUAUCCAUAGUAGAUAACUUUUGAAUAGUAGAUAACUUUUGAAUUGAGUAACUAAAUUUCUAAAUCUUGAAUUUGCCACAGAUAUUUUAUGUUGUAUUUUAAGUAUUCAUCUUUAUCUACAACAGAAAUAAAGCAUUUUAAUAUAUUAGUAAAAGAAAGAUAAGAUUUAACCUGAAAAAAGAAAUUAUAUAUAUAUAUAUAUAUCAUCAAUCGGACUUUAGAAAAUUUAGCACGUUAAAAUAUGAAUAUGAAAUAGAUCUGUAAGGAGGAUAAUAUUUAAUAUACUUAUAAAAAAGGUCAUGUUGAACUUGAAAAAGAAAUUCUACAACAGCUAACACAUCAAGCUUUCCACCUAGGUUUCGGCCACGCUAGAGAUCUUGAUACUUUAUUAUUAUAACUUUUUUUCAAAAUGUUUUGUUGGAACUUUGGUGUAAAGAUGGAAAGCAAUUGGAAGGUUGAAAAAAUAGAGUGUGGGGGAAAAUAAUAAUAAUUGUUAUUCUUUAUUCAUGGAAGUAAUUAAACUUUAAACAUUGUGUGUGUUCUAUUUUAUAUGGGACUAAAGAGUUCUAUUGAGUUGUCGAUAACUUUUUCUCUCUUCUCACUUUCUUGACUUGUGUUGACGAGUCUUUCUUCUCUUCAUCUUCUUUUUCUGUCCCUUCGGAAUUAAGAGUGUUCUAAUUAAGACAGUAGUCCUUUUUUCGGUAUAAUCUCCCUUCGGAAUUAAAAAUGGUAUUAAGAGUAUAGUCCCUUUGAUAUUUUUAUGUCCCUUCAGAAUAAAUAAUAUUUUAAGAUCAUAGUCCCUUUUCGGUAAAAUGUCCCUUCGAAAAUUAAGAAUGAUCUUAAAAAUAAAUUCUUCGAGAAGUUAGAUGUUAGAAUGGUGGUGGCACCAUAUUUGAGUAGUUGAAAUACCAUAUUGACAUUUGAAGAUGUUAAAAGUUAGAGUGGUGGUAACACCAUAUUUGAAUGGUCUCAGUACCAUAAUAGAAUGGUCACAGUACCAUAUAAUAGAAUGGCCUUAAUAGCCAUAUUUGAGAGUGUAAUUCUUGAACGGUUUUCUAUAGUGCAGUAGUUAAUCGUACAAUUGUAGCUGAGCUUGUUUUAUCCUGGAGGCGGCGUGGUUGAUAGUCUGCCUUGCACAAUUUUGGGCAGUGCCACGAAACGUCCUAAAGAGAGCGACCUGGUCGUAACUCAAUUUAGUAACAACUUCGAUAGAUGAAAAUUACUUUUCAAAAUAGAUUUGGAAAUGCAAAAUACAACAGUUCGGAAAUCCAAAAAUAACAUAUUUUAUAUAUAUUUUUUCAAAAGAAAUAAUAUAUACCUCAGUUGAGUGAAGGAUGGAUUGUCGAUGCUAGAGAAGUCAAGUGAAGGAGAGUUGAUUUGUUUUCAAGGUCACUAACUUUGAAUAUGUGUCGUGAAAGGCUUAAAAUUUAGUUAAAGCAUAAUGGGAUUAGAAAAUGACGUGAAGCCCACGAUCGUUGAACGUUAAUAAUUAUUUUUUAUGAACGAGUGAGGGAGGAUAUACAAUCUCUAGUGGGGAUGAGUAAAAAAGGACCUUGUCAGCAGAUGAAGCUGAGGAGAGGAGCCUGAACUCGAACGUGAGACAUCAUGAAACCACUAUAAAGGGAGUUAUUGCGCAAACCAGUGAAAUUAGCCGAAUGGCGGUUAAGCACUGUAGGCCCCGUCAUUUGGCUAGAACAUCCAAUCAAAGAUUAUUUUUAAAAUUUUUAUCUCUUUAUCUUUCUACUUUUAUCUAUGCAUUUCUUAGUGUGGUUUAUACCCAAAAAAUAAUUGUACUAAAGACUAUACUAGAGAAUUUAGGGAACCCACAGUUGAGGGAUAAAGUAAGUGCGAUAUGGUGGUUUUAGACUUAGAGUAAAGUAGACGCUGACGUAGGUGGUGGUCGCUUUCUGUAUUAAACCAUAUUCUCUUUUUCUUAAGUCAUAGAUAGGGAUCUUGUUGUUCGCGACGAAUAUUCAAACUUUUCCUCGCGGAAUCGACCUGAUCGGUGAAGGAAGGGUGGAUUUGAAUGUUAAAUUCAUUUUUUUCAUCUUUCCCUUUUAGGUUUUAUAUGGCUCAUAUGCGAGUGUGGUCACAAACAAUUAUCAAUUGACAAACCCUCGCACAUUUAUGUAUUUAAGCACCUUCUCGAUGUUCUCAAUGUGCUUGUCAGGUGGGGGUUCGAGUUUCCCUAAUCCUUCUGGUGAAGAGCUCGUAUGUUGCACAAUCAACAUAUGAGUAAGAUGAGGAUCGCGAGUGUUUGGACGUGUGCCUUUGUGAACGGUGUGAUCUUGUUGAUCUUCUUGCAUAUUCCUUCAGAGGAUGUCAGGGAGAUCUAGAUCUCUUUAAAGCUGGGCUCUUUCCCCUUCUUCUACACUGGGAAGCGCGAGAACAAACAACUCGUCUGGGGGCGAGAGACCUUCGACGUGUGUUUUGGAUAUCUCCAUACUUGUUUUGAUCAUCGAUCAUUUGUGUUUGUUGACAUAAGGUCUGGAUGAUGUUGCUGAGCAAGGCGUUUGUAGAAGACAUGUUGUUCGUUCCUUCUUUUACUGGUGAAGGAUCGUAAAACGGUGCCUUGGAGAGAGGAAUUACCAACUGUGAUAUUUUCUGAUGGGUCUCCUCCCUGGGGCUGUCAGUAGGGGACAAAGUCAAGGCUUGUUCGUUACGAUGGACGCGCCGGACCUUGCUCCUUAGUUGUGUGGACACACCGUCAACCAUUUUUUAGUAAGAUUUUUUUUUUUGGUUUUUUGUGUAGUUUUGGUCUUUUGUGAGUGAAAAGAUGAGGAUUAUUAGUUUCCCAUUAAUAUUACUUGAUAAGAGGACUAGUGUUUGGUACAAUAGUUUAUAGCGUUUGUAAGCUUGGAUCGCAGGGGGAGGGUGGGUGUACCUGUAGACACUCUGACGCUCAAAUCAGCAUGUCAACAACAAGAAAAUGGAUUAAAUGUAGCAAAAUAUCGUACCUUUGGAAUCUAUAAAAAGUCUCCUUAUAUAGUGAGGACAUGCAUGUGCCGUUGUUAAUGGCAAGAGUCGUUGCUCGACGGUUAAGGUUGCAGGAACCGUAACCGUCGAGCUUUACGAAAUGACAAUCAUGGAAACAUUAUAAUUUUGUUUGAAUUGGUGCCCCAAGUUGUUAAGAGCACCCGCACACGAAGAAGGGGUGUGAAGUGAAUGAUUGUUCCAAUAGUAGAUUGUGCAUGUUUUAUUGCGCUGCGAGCAUAAGCCUUUUAGAUUAGUUUUUCGUUAUGAUACGACAUCCACUCUUUUCACGAGACCAAAGAAUAAUUAAUUCACUUAAUAUUCAAAAUAUAAAGGUAUUACAAUUAAAAUUAAAAUAAAAUUGAAGGGAGCUUCUGUUUGCUCGCCUUAUGAUUCUUAAAAAUCACUAUGUUCGAAUUUAUCUAUCAGAACACAAGAAAAGUAAAUUCGGAUAGAUGUAGUUUUUAAGAAAUAUGUGUAGGGGUUAAAACUUAAAAGUAUGUCUAAAAUUGAGAUCUACAAAUUUGUUACUGCAUAUAGUUAAGAGAAGUAUUUAAAACAAGUACUAUCAUGCAGAGAAAAAGAAACUAGGUUGAAAUCGCAUAUAUCAACACUUGAAGAACAAAUAAUAAAAAUGAUAGAAACAAAUACAUUAGCUAUAGUACCUUUUACAAUAGAGUCACUAAACUUCAACACUCCAACGCAGCAGUGAAAUUACUAGUACUAGGUAACAAAGGAAGAAAUGCUGAUUAUGCAACAAAAGAGAUUCUAUAAGUUUUUUUUUUAUGAAAGGAGAUUUCGAAAAUUGUGAGGUCCAAGAAUUGCAAGUAAAAUGGAAAUGGAGAAAGAUCUAGUGUGAAAUUAGUUAUAUCGUUUCUGGGAUGUAAAUAAAGCAUGAUGAUAUACUUUAUAGUAAGAUUUCUUUUAGAGGAUACUUUAUAGUAGGAUGAAUAAUGCAAUGUUGGACAGAUGCAUUUAUGAAAUGUUUUUAUUCAUACCUAGUUUCUAAUCCACUCAUUUUUUAGUGGAGUGACAAGUGGUGUGCAACUAUUCGUAACUGAUUUAAUGAUCCACACAUCGUAUAUGAUUCUACUUUAAAUUGUAUCUGUCAAAUAACUUUGUUAGGGGUACUCCUUAUCACAUUAAAUUAUACUUUGAUUUGUCACAUUAAAUUAUGUUGGUCACCUUUAACUUAACAUGCAUUAAGAAUCCAAUGCCUCUUAGUUCGUCCAUCAAUGGAUGAUAUUUUAAUUAGUCCAGCUAUACAAAGUCUGAAAAGGACAUUAUAUUAAUCUUGUGUUAGGAAUGCUUUUAUAUAAAAUAAAAAAAAUACUUAAUGCUUUUUAUUUUAGGAUAACUCUUGCAUAGUCACUUACAAAUCCAGCUCAUUUAGACACACAAACAAAAACUCAUUAACCAAAUUUUUCAAUAAUAAUAAACACAAUUGUUUUUUUUUUUUUUUUUAUUUCUUCCUUUUUUUUCGUGUGUCUAAACAAAUUAAAUUUGUGAUUGUGACCGUACAAAUAAUGUUCAUUAUUUUAUGGGCGAUGUUAUUGAUCGCAAGGCAACUCACAGCGAAAUCAUCCCAAAAAGAAUUACAGCUAUUGGAUUUGUCAAAGCAAUAUAACCACAAGAGUAGAUGAAAGUUAAUGGAUCUCACUACCAUGCGAUCAUUUUGGGAUCAUGUCUUUCGCUAUAUCUAUCAUUACCCUUAUUUUAUAGAUAAAUUGCUUUAGGUUGAUUUGAUAAGGAGAGGAAAAAAAGGAAACAAACCCUAAACCUAAUACACUCGUGAGUCGAUCCAUGCCAUUAAGUUUUUUUAAUUAGUAGACGCCCAACUCAGUACCUUAGGGUUUAAAAUACUCACUCACAUAGUCACAUACAUUGAACAACAAUCACUUGUGAUAGACGGUUUAAGAUAUUGAAUCAUGAAAUUCUACUUUUUUUUUUUUUUUUUUUUUUUUUUUUUUCACUUUGUAUGAUCAAACUUUAUAUAUAACAACAUAUAACAGUUACAAAAGAUGUACACUAGUAAAAGUUCUAUAAACAUGAAAAUAUAGAUUAGCACGAGAGUCUAACUUAAUUACUAAUCACCAGCCACAUCAUUACAUUACUAAAUGUAAAUCAGGGUCAUUGCAUUCUAAUUUAAUGAAAUUAUGAUUCUUUUUUUGUAAAGGCUCAACUUUAUUUAAAAAUGUGCACAACUUGUACAAGACGAACAAGACGCACUGAGAAAUGAACAAAGAAAGGAGCGUCGUCUACACGACGGCGACGCCCCAAAACAGCCUACAGACAUGGAACGGAGGUCCCGCCCCGCUACAGCCAAACAACUACGAGGCAUAAAAGCAUCCAUACGUCCAACAACCGAUACAUAAGUAAGCUCGGCAAAUUUGGAUCUCAACAUCACAAAUUCAACACAAAUACAGUUAUUUUAUUAGAAUCUUGAUAUUCAUUUAGGACGUAUGGCAUACCAAGUUUGGAUGAAAGUAAGAAUCAAUGCUAGUAAAGCGGCUAAAAAUGCACCAUGGUGUAUUGAAAUGAGUAUUGCAAGCUUGAGCCAAUCAUAUCUUCCAUUUAUUUGUGUAAUUUUUUUCAAUUUCAUGUUUGAUGAGAAUAUAUUUCUUGCUAUAGGCUACUGCUUUUGUGUAGUCAAUGUGGCAAUACAUUUUUAUUGGCAAAUCAUCACCCAAAUCAUUGAAGAGUUUUGCCAAUUCUUUGUCGCUUCCAAGCAAGUUUUGAAAUACACCAGCUGAUCUAAGCUCUUUUACAUCGUCAGCAUUGUCAACCAAUGAAUCCAUGAAGCUAAAGAACGAGCAACAUUCAUAGUUGUAAUGAACAUCUGGACACAUCUCAUAUGCUACUAAGUUUCGAAAAAAAUAAGGUGACGUCAUUGAACAAAAAAAUAGGAAGCCUUAGUUCUCCAUUAAACCAUUUAGACUUGAACGAAAUGUUACUCCAGUUCCACAUCAUUGAAGAGAUUUGCCAAUUCUUCAUCGCUCCCAAGCAAGUUUUGAA